rnacentral:rRNA from 1 species
CGAACGCGAAAGUGGAGCAUCCAUGAGUAGAGUGGCGAACGGGUGAGUAACACGUGGGUGACCUACCUUCGAAUGGGGGAUAACGUCCCGAAAGGGACGCUAAUACCGCAUAACAUCCUGCCUUUGAACAGGUGGAGAUCAAAGCCGGGGAUCGCAAGACCUGGCGUUUGAAGAGGGGCCCGCGUCUGAUUAGCUAGUUGGUGAGGUAACGGCUCACCAAGGCGACGAUCAGUAUCCGGCCUGAGAGGGCGGACGGACACACUGGGACUGAGACACGGCCCAGACUCCUACGGGAGGCAGCAGUGGGGAAUUGUUCGCAAUGGGCGCAAGCCUGACGACGCAACGCCGCAUGGAGGAUGAAGGUCUUCGGAUUGUAAACUCCUGUUGCCCGGGACGAAACGCUUCGACCUAACACGUCGAAGUUUGACGGUACCGGGUGAGGAAGCCCCGGCUAACUCUGUGCCAGCAGCCGCGGUAAUACAGAGGGGGCAAGCGUUGUUCGGAAUUACUGGGCGUAAAGGGCGCGUAGGCGGCCUUCUAAGUCGAGCGUGAAAUCCCCGGGCUCAACCCGGGAACUGCGUCCAAUACUGGAAGGCUUGAAUCCGGGAGAGGGAUGCGGAAUUCCAGGUGUAGCGGUGAAAUGCGUAGAUAUCUGGAGGAA